rnacentral:rRNA from 1 species
GGCAAAAUGAGAGUCCAACUGUCUCUUAUAACAAAUCAAUUAAACUGAUCUCCCAGUAAAAAAGCUGGGCUACACCCAUAAGACCAGAAGACCCUGUGAAGCUUUAAUUAACCUAUUAAACCCUAUAAUAGCUAAUUUCGGUUGGGGCGACCUUGGAAUAAAAAAGAACUUCCAAACAAUGACUUAGUCAUAUAACAGGCAAACAAGCCUUAUUAGACCCAGUAUAUCUGAUUAAUGAACCAAGUUACUCCAGGGAUAACAGCGCUAUCUUCUUCAAGAGCCCAUAUCAAAAAGAAGGUUUACGACCUCGAUGUUGGAUCAGGACAUCCUAGUGGUGUAACCGCUACUAAGGGUUUGUUUGUUCAACAAUUAAUAGUCCUACGUGA